GACGAACGCUGGCGGCGUGCGUAACACAUGCAAGUCGAACGAGAGAGUGAGAGAAGCUUGCUUUUCUUAUGAUCGAGUGGCAAACGGGUGAGUAACGCGUAAACAACCUGCCCCGCAGAUGGGGACAACAGCUGGAGACGGCUGCUAAUACCGAAUACGCUCCUCUUAGCGCAUGGUAAGAGGAAGAAAGGGUGGCCUCUGGAACAAGCUACCGCUGUGGGAGGGGUUUGCGUCUGAUUAGCUGGUUGGAGGGGUAACGGCCCACCAAGGCGACGAUCAGUAGCCGGUCUGAGAGGAUGAACGGCCACAUUGGAACUGAGACACGGUCCAGACUCCUACGGGAGGCAGCAGUGGGGAAUCUUCCGCAAUGGGCGAAAGCCUGACGGAGCAACGCCGCGUGAGUGAAGACGGCCUUCGGGUUGUAAAGCUCUGUUAUAGGGGACGAACGGCCGGGUAGCGAAGAGGUAGCCGGCAUGACGGUACCGUAAGAGAAAGCCACGGCUAACUACGUGCCAGCAGCCGCGGUAAUACGUAGGUGGCAAGCGUUGUCCGGAAUGAUUGGGCGUAAAGGGCGCGCAGGCGGCUGUGUAAGUCUGUCUAAAAAGUGCGGGGCUAAACCCCGUGAGAGGAUGGAAACUGGACAGCUGAGAGUGUCGGAGAGGAAAGCGGAAUUCCUAGUGUAGCGGUGAAAUGCGUAGAUAUUAGGAGGAACACCGGUGGCGAAAGCGGCUUUCUGGACGACAACUGACGCUGAGGCGCGAAAGCCAGGGGAGCAAACGGGAUUAGAUACCCCGGUAGUCCUGGCCGUAAACGAUGGGUACUAGGUGUAGGAGGUAUCGACCCCUCCUGUGCCGGAGUUAACGCAAUAAGUACCCCGCCUGGGGAGUACGGCCGCAAGGCUGAAACUCAAAGGAAUUGACGGGGGCCCGCACAAGCGGUGGA
rnacentral:rRNA from 1 species